GGGGAUAUAGCUCAGUUGGUAGAGUGCUUGUCUCACAUGCACAAGGUCCUGGGUUCAAUCCCCAGUACCAACA
rnacentral:tRNA from 1 species